AUGAGCUUUUGGGGAGCAACAGUAAUUACAAGCUUAGCUAGCGCCAUACCAGUAGUAGGAGAUACCAUAGUGACUUGGCUUUGGGGUGGUUUCUCUGUGGACAAUGCCACCUUAAAUCGUUUUUUUAGUCUCCAUCAUUUACUCGCCCUUGUUCUUCCUUUUGAUUUAAACGUUCUCCCUCGGGAGCUGCAGAAUUCUGGCAGGGGCAGCCCCCUUUUCCAGAUCAUGAAAAUGUGGUGGAGAGUGAUGAUUCAUCAACUGAUUCAUCAGGGAGUUCAUCUGAUGAUUCAUCAACUGAUUCAUCAGGGAGUUCAUCUGAUGAUUCAUCAACUGAUUCAUCGGAUCUCGACACGGAUUAUGAUGAGCUAA
rnacentral:rRNA from 1 species